AAUCAACGCUGGCGGCGUGCCUCAGACAUGCAAGUCGAACGAUUAAAGCUCUCUUCGGAGAGUGUAUAGAGUGGCGCACGGGUGAGUAACACGUAAGUAAUCUACCUUCGAGUGGGGAAUAACGUCCGGAACGGACGCUAAUACCGCAUAAUGCAGCGGCAUCGCAAGAUGACAGUUGUUAAAGAUUUAUCGCUUGAAGAGGAGCUUGCGGCAGAUUAGCUAGUUGGUAAGGUAACGGCUUACCAAGGCUACGAUCUGUAUCCGGUCUAAGAGGACGGUCGGACACACUGACACUGAAUAACGGGUCAGACUCCUACGGAGGCAGCAGUCGGGAAUUUUGGGCAAUGGGCGAAAGCCUGACCCAGCAACGCCGCGUGAAGGAUGAAGUAUUUCGGUA
rnacentral:rRNA from 1 species